rnacentral:rRNA from 1 species
UGGGGAAUAUUGCACAAUGGGCGCAAGCCUGAUGCAGCCAUGCCGCGUGUGUGAAGAAGGCCUCGGGUUGUAAGGCACUUUCAGCGAGGAGGAAGGUGGUGGACUUAAUACGUUCAUCAAUUGACGUUACUCGCAGAAGAAGCACCGGCUAACUCCGUGCCAGCAGCCGCGGUAAUACGGAGGGUGCAAGCGUAAUCGGAAUUACUGGGCGUAAAGCGCACGCAGGCGGUUUGUUAAGUCAGAUGUGAAAUCCCCGGGCUCAACCUGGGAACUGCAUUUGAAACUGGCAAGCUAGAGUCUCGUAGAGGGGGGUAGAAAUUCCAGGUGUAGCGGUGAAAUGCGUAGAGAUCUGGAGGAAUACCGGUGGCGAAGGCGGCCCCCUGGACGAAGACUGACGCUCAGGUGCGAAAAGCGUGGGGAGCAAAACAGGAUUAGAUACCCUGGUAGUCCACGCUGUAAAACGAUGUCGAUUUUGGAGGUUGUGCCCUUGAGGCGUGGCUUCCGGAGCUAACGCGUUAAAUCGACCGCCU